CGCGGAUGUCCAGAUUGUUUUAAGAAAAUAAUUGAUGCGGAAUAUACUUUUUGGUGCGCAAAGUGUGACAGAGAGGUAUUUGCAGAAAAUAGCUACAGGAUAACUAUGGAAGUUCAAGAUGAAUCUGC